UACAUCAGACACCAAGAGUGCACUGGCAUCCUCUCUGGUACAAACAUUCCCCUGUCUGAAGGAUGCAUCUACCAGCGGCUGUGUGGGUUGCCACAAUCACUCGUCACAUCCUUGGCCACUGGGUGUCCGGGUAUCUCACUUGGUGUCUCAUUAUGAGAUCGGGGCCUGUGAAGAAAUCACAAAAUGCCAAAAUUAGGACUGAUAUGACGUACCAACUACCUACAGACUGGACACUUGGUAUGCCAAGGGGCACCUGCAUCGGCCAGCCACUGACUUUCUUGAGGAGAGGCUGAGGAACAUAAGAAAGAGGAUCAGGUCUGCACAAUGACCCCAGAGAGAAGAGGGAUCCAUGCCAUGCCCCAUAUUCUUACCAGAUGUCAAGGGAUACAUGGUCUUGAGGCUCCUACCCAGCCUUUUGCCCCCACAAGCCUUCAAAAUGGGCAAAAAUAUGAUGCGGCCCACAGUCUCUGAAGCCUUGAAGACCUUUAUUGACC